ACUGGCUUGUGGCAGCCAAGCGUUCAUAGCGACGUUGCUUUUUGAUCCUUCGAUGUCGGCUCUUCCUAACCUACUGUUGCAGAAAGCAGUAAGGGUUGGAUUGUUCACCCACUAACAGGGAACGUGAGCUGGGUUUAGACCGUCGUGAGACAGGUUGGUUUUACCCUACUGAUGGAGAGUGAGCCCUCGGGCCAGUGCAACUUAAGAGCAGUCUGGGGUAGUACGAGAGGAACUCCCAGGUAGAGUCCCUGGUAUCUACGGUUGUCCGAUCGGACAGUGCCGUGAUGCUACCACUCUAUGGAUUAUGGCUGAACGCCUCUAAGCCAGAACCCAGUCUUGAGGGUUGCAUGGGAAACCAGACACUUCAAUGCACUAUCGGGCCAAUACUAGCUUCGGCGAGUGGCUACAUCUCAAGUUCACAUCCAGUGUAGAAGUGUGUCUACCGGGUCUA
rnacentral:rRNA from 1 species